GUGGGGGCGUAGUCGGCUGGG
rnacentral:misc_RNA from 1 species